rnacentral:rRNA from 1 species
UACGUAGGGGGCAAGCGUUGUCCGGAUUUAUUGGGCGUAAAGAGCGUGUAGGCGGUCAGGUAGGUCCGUUGUGAAAACUCGAGGCUCAACCUCGAGACGCCGAUGGAAACCAUCUGGCUAGAGUCCGGAAGAGGGGAGUGGAAUUCCUGGUGUAGCGGUGAAAUGCGCAGAUAUCAGGAAGAACACCAACGGCGAAGGCAGCUCGCUGGGACGGAACUGACGCUAAGGCGCGAAAGCGUGGGAGCGAACAGG